rnacentral:lncRNA from 1 species
AAUUAAAAAAAAAUUAGGUAAGAUAUCAAAAUAAACUCUUAUGAUUGGUUAAUUUUAAUCUGACCUCUUUACUAAGUGUUCUUAAGGGUCAAACACGACACAUUGUUUAACUAUAAGAGACAAAUAAUAAAUAUUAUUCCUAUUUGCUAAAUUAAAGGUUAUGAAAUAAUCAAAAUUUGUUUAAAACAUAAUCAAUUCUUAUAAUUUGUAAGUAUUUUAUGCCAUUUCCGAGCUAAGUGUUCUAAAGGUUCAAACACAAUACAUUAAGAGAGAUUAAAUAAUUAUUUACAAUAUUAAUCUUAUUUUUCAAUUUUCUCUUUUCAACCAUGAAAGGUUAUGAAGUAAACAAAAUUUAGUAAAAAUAAAAAAAUUAAGCCUUAUGAUUAAUAAAUGUUUAUGUGUCCUCCUUACUAAGUGUUAUGAUAGGGGAAAACACAACACAUUGAUAUAAUUAAGAGACAUUCAAUAAUUAUAAAAAAAUUUAGCAAGUUUUUCUUUACAACACUACCUAUGCAUAAAAAAAAAACUAUAAUUUUUCUAAUGGCAAAAUGCUAUAAAAAGAGAAUUAGAUUUAGAAAUUAUGAAGUGAUUGAAUAUAUUUUGUUUGAAAUCUGCAGAGGGUGGAAAAUAUGGUUGAAAUUGCAAGAAUUUUUUAUGUUAUGAUUAUCUUCCUUUCUCUAUUUUUUGUUGCAACGAACGUUAAUGGUAAAUUAUUUUUCUCCUUUUUAAAUUUCCUUACUUAUUAUAUAAUGUUAUCACAUUUUAAUAGCUUUCUUUUUUAUUAUUUCUUCACUAUAGCGACGAAUCCUAGAUGUGUAACUGCUGCUGAUUGUCCAAAAUAUUUUUGUGGGCCUACUGAAUCAAGAAUGUGUGUUUUCGGUUUUUGUUUAUGUGGUUGGUGACUCCAUGUAUGAUAUGAGGAUAAACACUCUGCAGGAAAAUUCCUUGUGUUCUCUUAAAUUAUUGUGUUGAUAUCAAAUAAUUUAGAUCUCUUUAAGUUUUCAAAGUUUAUGAAAUUUAUAGUUAUGACUAUCUUUAAAUCUAGCUCUAUUGACAAUAAAAACAAAUCUAAACAAAAAUAAGUUGAAAAGGAACAUACUUUGUAGAGUUAGAAAAUAUAUUUAUUUGUUACUAUUGCUUUUGUGAUUAUAUGUAUAUUCACCACUAAUAUAUUGUUGACUUCAUGCAUAAUGCCGUAUACUUAAGUUAACAUAGCA